rnacentral:rRNA from 1 species
GCAUUUGAAACUGUAGUUCUUGAGUGUCGGAGAGGUAUCGGAAUUCCGUGUGUAGCGGUGAAAUGCGUAGAUAUACGGAGGAACACCAGUGGCGAAGCGGAUUACUGGACGAUAACUGACGCUGAGGCGCGAAAGCGUGGGGAGCAAACAGGAUUAAUACCCUGGUAGUCCACGCUGUAAACGAUGGAUACUAGGUGUGGGGGGACUGACCCCCUCGUGCCGCAGUUAACACAAUAAGUAUCCCACCUGGGGAGUACGAUCGCAAGGUUGAAACUCAAGGAAUUGACGGGGGCCCGCACAAGCGGUGGAGUAUGUGGUUUAAUUCGAAGCAACGCGAGAACCUUACCAGGGCUUGACAUCCCGGUGACCGGCCUAGAGAUAGGCUUUCCCUUCGGGCACCGGUGACAGGUGGUGCAUGGUUGUCGUCAGCUCGUGUCGUGAGAUGUUGGGUUAAGUCCGCAACGAGCGCAACCCCUAUUGUUAGUUGCUACGCAAGAGCACUCUAGCGAGACUGCCUUGACAAAACGGAGGAAGGUGGGGACGACGUCAAAUCAUCAUGCCCCUUAUGUCCUGGGCACACACGUACUACAAUGGUGGUUAACAGAGGGAGGCAAAACCGCGAGGUGGAGCAAACCCUAAAAGCCAUCCCAGUUCGGAUUGCAGGCUGAAACUCGCCUGUAUGAAGUUGGAAUCGCUGUAAUCGCGGAUCAGCAUGCCGCGGUGAAUACGUUCCCGGGCCUUGCACUCACCGCCCGU